GACGAACGCUGGCGGCGUGCUUAACACAUGCAAGUCGAACGGUAAGGCCCUUCGGGGUACACGAGUGGCGAACGGGUGAGUAACACGUGGGUGAUCUGCCCUGCACUUCGGGAUAAGCCUGGGAAACUGGGUCUAAUACCGGAUAGGACUCCUGGCUGCAUGGUUGGGGGUGGAAAGCUUUUGCGGUGUGGGAUGGGCCCGCGGCCUAUCAGCUUGUUGGUGGGUAGUGGCCUACCAAGGCGACGACGGGUAGCCGGCCUGGGAGGGUGACCGGUCACACUGGGGCUGAGAUACAGCCCAGACUCCUACGGGAGGCAGCAGUGGGGAAUAUUGCACAAUGGGCGCAAGCCUGAUGCAGCGACGCCGCGUGAGGGAUGACGGCCUUCGGGUUGUAAACCUCUUUCAGCUAUGACGAAGCGCAAGUGACGGUAGUAGCAGAAGAAGGACCGGCCAACUACGUGCCAGCCGCCGCAGUAA
rnacentral:rRNA from 1 species